GCAGCAGUAGGGAAUCUUCCGCAAUGGACGAAAGUCUGACGGAGCAACGCCGCGUGAGCGAAGAAGGUCUUCGGAUUAUAAAGCUCUGUUGUUAGGGAAGAACAAGUACCGUUCGAAGAGGGCGGUACCGUGACGGUACCUAACGAGAAAGCCACGGCUAACUACGUGCCAGCAGCCGCGGUAAUACGUAGGUGGCAAGCGUUGUCCGGAAUUAUUGGGCGUAAAGCGCGCGCAGGCGGUCCUUUAAGUCUGAUGUGAAAGCCCACGGCUCAACCGUGGAGGGUCAUUGGAAACUGGGGGACUUGAGUGCAGAAGAGGAGAGCGGAAUUCCACGUGUAGCGGUGAAAUGCGUAGAGAUGUGGAGGAACACCAGUGGCGAAGGCGGCUCUCUGGUCUGUAACUGACGCUGAGGCGCGAAAGCGUGGGGAGCAAACAGGAUUAGAUACCCUGGUAGUCCACGCCGUAAACGAUGAGUGCUAAGUGUUAGAGGGGUUAAUCCCUUUAGUGCUGUAGCUAACGCAUUAAGCACUCCGCCUGGGGAGUACGCUCGCAAGAGUGAAACUCAAAGGAAUUGACGG
rnacentral:rRNA from 1 species